AUUUCUUGCUCUCCAUGCACUGACUCAGAGAAGCAACCAAUAACAGCAGAAGGCGAUUUGCCACGAGAAGGACAUGGCCUGGUGGCUACUGCACCUUCAGCUUCCGCACACAUAAAUACAUAUGGAACACACCGGACCUAGUCUCCAGCCUGGAGCCAUGCCUACAGCAUGGCUGAAGCAUGAAGCAGGGCUAACUGGCCACAUUCAACCUCCAUCAGCUGAAGCACAAUACACCUGCAAACCUAUGAGUCUGAGAAUAAAGGCUUGUUAUUGAAAGCCACUAAGAUUUGGGGUGGUUUGUUAUCCAACAUUCUGAUGGCAACAGCAGUAAUAGAUCACCAGGUCUUUGUGAUUUUGCUUUUAAAUAAAUUCACUAAUUCUAAA
rnacentral:lncRNA from 10 species